GACGAACGCUGGCGGCGUGCCUAAUACAUGCAAGUAGGACGCAGUUGCGACCGGGUGAGUAACGCGUCGGUAACUGCCUAUUAGAGGGGGAUAACUAUUGGAAACGAUAGCUAAUACCGCAUACUCGUAGAUGGACCUGCGUUGUAUUAGGUAGUAGGUAGGGUAAUGGCCUACCUAGGCGACGAUACAUAGCCGACCUGCGAGGGGGAUCGGACACACGGGGACUUAGACACGGCCCAGACUCCUGAGGGAGGCAGCAGUAGGGAAUCGUCGGCAAUGGGGGGAACCCUGACCGAGCAACGCCGCGUGAGUGAAGAAGGUUUUCGGAUCGUAAAGCUCUGUUGUUAAGGAAGCGGUACUUAACCAGAAAGGGACGGCUAACUACGUGCCAGCAGCCGCGGUAAUUC
rnacentral:rRNA from 1 species